CGGGAAUAUUGGACAAUGGGGGCAACCCUGAUCCAGCAAUACCGCGUGUGAAGAAGGCCUUCGGGUUGUAAAGCACUUUAAGCGGGGAGGAAGGCCUGAUGGCUAAUAUCCAUCGGGAUUGACGUUACCCGCAGAAUAAGCACCGGCAAACUUCGUGCCAGCAGCCGCGGUAAUACGAAGGGUGCGAGCGUUAAUCGGAAUUACUGGGCGUAAAGCGCGCGUAGGUGGUUAAGUAAGCGAUCUGUGAAAGCCCCGGGCUUAACCUGGGAACUGCAGGUCGAACUGCUUGGCUAGAGUAUGGUAGAGGGGUGUGGAAUUUCCUGUGUAGCGGUGAAAUGCGUAGAUAUAGGAAGGAACAUCAGUGGCGAAGGCGACACCCUGGACCGAUACUGACACUGAGGCGCGAAAGCGUGGGUAGCGAAC
rnacentral:rRNA from 1 species